CUCACCAAACCUAUAAUCGGUACGGGCCGCGGGAGCGGUAGCCUGGAGAUGGGAACUGAGACAAGGUCCCAGGCCCUACGGGGCGCAGCAGUCGCGCAACCUCUGCAAUAGGCGAAAGCCUGACAGGGCUACCCCGAGUGCCGUCCGCUGGGGAUGGCUUUUCUCUGGUGUAGUGAGCCGGAGGAAUAAGGAGAGGGCAAGUCUGGUGUCAGCCGCCGCGGUAAUACCAGCUCUCCGAGUGGUAGGGACGAUUAUUGGGCCUAAAGCGUCCGUAGCCGGCUAAGCAAGUUUCCCGUUAAAUCCAGCGAUCCAAUCGUUGGACUGCGGGAAAUACUGUUUGGCUAGGGGGCGAGAGAGGCCAACGGUAUUCCCGGGGUAGGGGCGAAAUCCUAUAAUCCCGGGAGGACCACCAGUGGCGAAGGCUGUUGGCUAGAACGCGCCCGACGGUGAGGGACGAAAGCUGGGGGAGCGAACCGGAUUAGAUACCCGGGUAGUCCCAGCUGUAAACGAUGCAGGCUAGGUGUUAGGGCGGCUACGAGCCGCUCUAGUGCCGCAGGGAAG
rnacentral:rRNA from 1 species